UACGAAGGGUGCAAGCGUUACUCGGAAUUACUGGGCGUAAAGCGUGCGUAGGUGGUUCGUUAAGUCUGAUGUGAAAGCCCUGGGCUCAACCUGGGAAUGGCAUUGGAAACUGGCGACCUAGAGUGCGGUAGAGGGUAGUGGAAUUCCCGGUGUAGCGGUGAAAUGCGUAGAUAUCUGGAGGAACACCGGUGGCGAAGGCGGCAUCCUGGACCGGCAUUGACGCUGAGGCGCGAAAGCCAGGGGAGCAAACGGG
rnacentral:rRNA from 1 species